ensembl:snRNA U6 U6 spliceosomal RNA
GUGCUCUCUUUGGCAGCACAUAUACUAAAAUUGGAACAUUACAGAGAAGAUUAGCGUGGCCCCUGCACAAGGAUGACAUGCAAAUUAGUGAAGCAUUCCCUGCACUU